rnacentral:misc_RNA from 1 species
CACCACUCCAGCCUCGCUGGGUAUUGGGCGUCGCGGCCUCCGCGCGCCUUAAUGUCUCCGGCCGAGCCGACCGUCUCCGAAGCGUUGUGACAUCACGAAUCGCUGGGUGGGACCGGUCCGGCGCCGCGCCGUCAAACCCUUUCACCAAA